AUACGGAGGGGGUUAGCGUUGUUCGGAAUUACUGGGCGUAAAGCGCACGUAGGCGGAUUGGAAAGUUGGGGGUGAAAUCCCAGGGCUCAACCCUGGAACUGCCUCCAAAACUAACAGUCUAGAGUUCGAGAGAGGUGAGUGGAAUUCCAAGUGUAGAGGUGAAAUUCGUAGAUAUUUGGAGGAACACCAGUGGCGAAGGCGGCUCACUGGCUCGAUACUGACGCUGAGGUGCGAAAGCGUGGGGAGCAAACAGGAUUAGAUACCCCUGUAGUCC
rnacentral:rRNA from 1 species